UAGUCUUCCCAGUGCCAGGAAGGAGCAGAAAGAAUAAAUAUAUGAGAAAAAGGGGAAACAACCUUAAACAUAUAGGGGUUUAGGUUGUGGGUUUGUUUUUGUUUUCCCCCACUUUAAUAAAGCUGAAGAAAAUUUGCAAUGAAUUUAUGGGCUGAUUUAAAUCCUACUAAGGCUCAUGGAAAUCCCUUUAGUGAAUUCUGGGCCAGGUCCAGGAAAAGCAGGUUAUUAUUCCCUUUACUUUUAUUCAUCCAUAACUGUGCCCUUCUGCAUUCAAUCUUGUUGUUUAUAUCUUGCCAGUAGAUUUAAUGUGAACCUCAUCAGCUGUGGACCUGAAUAAGACACUGGGAUAAGCUGUCUCUUAACUCUGAGCCAGUCUUCCCAGAACAGUGGUGGUAAAGGAGGAUGCCCCUGACACACCAGAAGAGAAGCUGUGCUUGGCUGCAGAGUGAGUCAGCCCUUCUCAAGAUAAAUGUGCAAGAUAGGUGAGAUGAAUCACACACUGGAGGUGCCUAUUUGUCUCCAUUGACUAUGCAAGAAGCCUGUCCAACUAAAUAGGUUUAGACACCUAACUUUUAGGCACCUAAAAUCAGGUGAGAGGAAUCCCAUCCUCAUUGUUCUUCAUUCUUCAUUAGCACCCUGACAAAGGAGGCAGUGGAAGAGGCUUCCUGGAAAUGCCCUCCCAGAUUUGGACCUGGCCAAACCCCUCCAUCCUCUGUGCAUGGGAAUCUGCAAAGCCUCGCCUCUGUUCCUCCCCACGCAACUCCUACGGGCAUGGGGCGCUCCAGCCAUGCCCAGCUGGCAGAGAUGAAAGCGUGCUCCCUGCUGUGGUCUGAAUGAGACAACGGUCUUGUGGGAAAAGAUAUAAUAGUGGAACUGAAGUUGAACUGAAGUCUGUAUCAUAAUGUAUUCAGAGCAGGCGAGAGGGCA